AAAGAAGGGAUAGCAAAAUCGUGACCUAACGAAUAGAAACCUAAUAUUAAGGCGAAUUAAGCGGACAAGUUGACCAAAAGCAAUAAAGUCCAAAAGGCAAACGUAAUCUUAAUUUGUAAAUUAGGUAGGUAAACGAGGAAAGAUAU
rnacentral:ncRNA from 1 species